UACGGGGGGGGUAAGCGUUGUUCGGAAUUACUGGGCGUAAAGGGCGCGUAGGCGGCCUUCUAAGUCAGACGUGAAAUCCCCCGGCUUAACCUGGGAACUGCGUCUGAUACUGGGAGGCUUGAGUAUGGGAGAGGGAUGUAGAAUUCCAGGUGUAGCGGUGAAAUGCGUAGAUAUCUGGAGGAACACCGGUGGCGAAGGCGGCGUCCUGGACCAACACUGACACUGAUGAGCGAAAGCCAGGGGAGCAAACGGG
rnacentral:rRNA from 1 species